rnacentral:rRNA from 1 species
CCUACGGGAGGCAGCAGUGGGGGAUAUUGGACAAUGGGGGGAACCCUGAUCCAGCGACGCCGCGUGAGUGAAGAAGUAUUUCGGUAUGUAAAGCUCUGUCAGCAGGGAAGAAAGCAAUGACGGUACCUGACCAAGAAGCCCCGGCUAACUACGUGCCAGCAGCCGCGGUAAUACGUAGGGGGCAAGCGUUAUCCGGAAUUACUGGGUGUAAAGGGAGCUUAGACGGCUGUGCAAGUCUGGAGUGAAAGGCAGGGGCCCAACCCCCGGACUGCUCUGGAAACUGUAUGGGUGGAGUGCAGGAGAGGUAAGCGGAAGUCGUAGGGUAGCGGGGAAAUGGGUAGAUAUUAGGAGGAACACCAGUGGCGAAGGCGGCUUACUGGACUGUAACUGACGUUGAGGCUCGAAAGCGUGGGAGCAAACAGGAUUAGAUACCCUGGUAGUC